CCUACGGGAGGCAGCAGUGAGGAAUAUUGGUCAAUGGUCGGGAGACUGAACCAGCCAAGCCGCGUGAGGGAUGAAGGUACAGAGUAUCGUAAACCUCUUUUGUCAGGGAACAAAGGCGGGGACGUGUCCCCGGCUGAGUGUACCUUAAGAAAAAGCAUCGGCUAACUCCGUGCCAGCAGCCGCGGUAAUACGGAGGAUGCGAGCGUUAUCCGGAUUUAUUGGGUUUAAAGGGUGAGCAGGCGGUCUGUUAAGUCAGCGGUCAAAGCCCGGGGCUCAACCCCGGCCCGCCGUUGAAACUGGCAGUCUCGAGUUGGAGAGAAGUAUGCGGAAUGCGCGGUGUAGCGGUGAAAUGCAUAGAUAGCGCGCAGAACUCCGAUUGCGAAGGCAGCAUGCCGGCUCCACACUGACGCUGAGGCACGAAAGCGUGGGUAUCGAACAGGAUUAGAUACCCGUGUAGUC
rnacentral:rRNA from 1 species